rnacentral:lncRNA from 1 species
AGACAAAAACCCGACCAUAGAAAAAAACAACAGCAGAAGGUCACCAACAGGUCUUCAAUGUAGCGAGAAAUUCCCGCACCCGGAGGCGUCCUUCAGCUGGCCCCUAAACAAAUAUAUACUAUUUCAGUGAUAAUGAACGCCAUACUAAUUUCCAAAUUGUACACAAGAAACUAAAAUUAAAAUAAUACAAGACUAACAAAAGGCCAGAGGCUCCUGACUUGGGACAGGCGCAAAAAUGCGGCGGGAUUAAACAUGUUUGUGAGAUCUCAACCCUCCCCCUAUACCUCUAACCAAUGUAGAAAAGUAAACGCAUAACAAUACGCACAUUAAAAUUCAGUCCAAGAGAUGUCCGAGUCUGAUGUCAGAAGAUGUAACCAAAGUAAAUAAACAAAAUGACAAUAAUACAUAAAUAACAACAGACUACUAGCAGUUAACUGACAUGCCAGCUCCAGACUUCA